rnacentral:rRNA from 1 species
UACGUAGGGUGCGAGCGUUAAUCGGAAUUACUGGGCGUAAAGUGUGCGCAGGCGGCCGCGCAAGUCGAGUGUGAAAUCCCUCGGCUCAACCAAGGAAGUGCAUCCGAAACUGCUGAGCUUGAGUACGAAAGAGGAUCGCGGAAUUCCCGGUGUAGAGGUGAAAUUCGUAGAUAUCGGGAGGAACACCAGUGGCGAAGGCGGCGAUCUGGGUCGAUACUGACGCUGAGGUGCGAAAGCGUGGGGGAGCAAACAGG